UAAAGAGGGGGCGAGCGUUAAUCGGAAUUACUGGGCGUAAAGGGUGAGUAGGCGGUAUGUUAAGUUAGUUGUGAAAUCCCUGGGCUUAACCUAGGAACAGCAAUUAAUACUGGCAUGCUAGAGUACAUGAGAGGGGAGUGGAAUUUCCGGUGUAGCGGUGAAAUGCGUAGAUAUCGGAAGGAACACCGGUGGCGAAGGCGACUCUCUGGCAUGUAACUGACGCUGAGGCACGAAAGCGUGGGGAGCAAACAGG
rnacentral:rRNA from 1 species